GGCGGCGUCUACUUUAAUCUACAAAUAAGACCGGGAGAACCAGGCUGAUCAGACCCUCGUGUUCCAGGCUGGACCUGUUGAGAUGAACGUAGAGAUGAACAUUGCCUCCGCCAUGAUCCAAGUCGAGUUCAGAAACAACGACCAGGCCGCCCAGGUCAUCGGCCGCCAGUUAGCACUCAUCGGAGACCAACUGCACGGGAACCGGGCACUCGGUCGUCCCGGUAACGGACUACUAUCUCCGCUCCGCAUCCUGAGACCGACCCUGACCAGCGCCCUCUACAGGGACAUCCAGAAGCAGCUGUGUGGGGUGCAGGGGGCGCUCUACACCACCCUGAAGGCCUGGCUCACCUCUGUCACCCCAACCCUGGGGCCCUUCAGAGCGGAGGCCCUGCCAGCCUGGGCAAACGUUGGCUGGAUCAACCGUUUCCUGCUGACAGUGGCGCUGGUUGCCACGGGGAGCCUUUGCACUGCAUUAUGGGUAGAGUGGGAAGGCUAG
rnacentral:lncRNA from 1 species